CAACCGGGAUUGCCUUAGUAACGGCGAGUGAAGCGGCAAAAGCUCAAAUUUGAAAUCUGGUACCUUCGGUGCCCGAGUUGUAAUUUGGAGAGGGCAACUUUGGGGCCGUUCCUUGUCUAUGUUCCUUGGAACAGGACGUCAUAGAGGGUGAGAAUCCCGUGUGGCGAGGAGUGCGGUUCUUUGUAAAGUGCCUUCGAAGAGUCGAGUUGUUUGGGAAUGCAGCUCUAAGUGGGUGGUAAAUUCCAUCUAAAGCUAAAUAUUGGCGAGAGACCGAUAGCGAACAAGUACAGUGAUGGAAAGAUGAAAAGAACUUUGAAAAGAGAGUGAAAAAGUACGUGAAAUUGUUGAAAGGGAAGGGCAUUUGAUCAGACAUGGUGUUUUGUGCCCUCUGCUCCUUGUGGGUAGGGGAAUCUCGCAUUUCACUGGGCCAGCAUCAGUUUUGGUGGCAGGAUAAAUCCAUAGGAAUGUAGCUUGCCUCGGUAAGUAUUAUAGCCUGUGGGAAUACUGCCAGCUGGGACUGAGGACUGCGACGUAAGUCAAGGAUGCUGGCAUAAUGGUUAUAUGCCGCCCGUCUUGAAACACGGACCUCCUGUGUGAGU
rnacentral:rRNA from 1 species